rnacentral:lncRNA from 12 species
CAUGACGUUUCUGUAAAUCUAGCUUCUUAUUUAUAACAGUGUUUCCUAGGUGAGAGUUGACGUCCAAGGAGGGAAUAUGUUACAUAGCAGCCUGGUGGGACAGCCAGCAAUGCAAGAAGACUUAUGGGGCAUAAAGUUGAUGCCUCAGUUUCUCCAUAAUUGAGAGGACAAUUAGUGAGAGGGCAAAAGUUUUUUCUAUUAAUUACAGAAGCGGGGGGAAAAGGCAUGAUUCUCUGCUACAUAGAAAUGUUAGACAAUUGCUAACAGAUCUGAUCAACUGAAAUCUUUCUUUUCCUUUUCCUUGGGAGCCAAGGGGGUUUUGUUUUUUUGUUUUUCAAAAUAUUGAAGUGGUUUGAAAGAUCAGAAGGCAGUUGUGCUAAAUUUGCUAUUAUUAGCAUGGAAGUGAUAACAGCUUUCCUAUCCCUUGGGAGGAGAGACGGCAGUUGGAGGCUGAAGAAUUCUCAGUGCAGUAGCGGCAAGCUUCUCGCCAAAACAAAAGAAGGAGUAAGAAUAUCUGCCUGUGAGAAAAUGAUGAGUCUGUUACUUUUUCUCAGGGUGAGGUGCGUGUUGAAGGCACACACAAAGGUGACAUGACGUGCCAGGGAGCUUGCUUGUAGCCAGCUCUGGGUUCCUUAAGAAUGCUGGAGUACCUCUUGAAUGAUGUGGGAAUUCCUCUAACACCACUGACAUGGUGAUUCCCUUAGGGUAAGGCAUGCCACAGUCUUUUCUUUUUCUUCUUGUCUGGCUUACCCAAGUAGGAUCUAAUAGAGGGAUGAAUGAGUGAACAGAAAGGAAGAUGAGGCGGGUCUCAUAUAUCUGGGUUUUAGAUUAACCAUAGCCCACACGGAAUAGUAAGAAUUAAACUACAUUUGAAAUGACCUCAGGAGAAGCCUACCAGUCCUCAUAAUCCAAUGGUACUUAAAUAUUUAGGGCAAAACUGUACAGUUGGUGCUUAAAACUCAUCACACAGAGUAGAAGCAGAGGAUGAAGAAAUAGCAGAAACAUAUUUUGCUUAAGAAGGCUUUGACAAUUUAGAUGUGGUAAAAGGGAGCUCUCAGUGUCCCUGUGUGAGAGACGUUAGUUUUGUCUAAUGUCCAUUAUUACCUGAAUCCAACCAAGAUGAAAUCUCAGAUCCCAGGCAAUACAGGAGAGAAGGGUAGGGACAGCUAAUCAGAGAGGGACAGAGAGGUGGGGUUUGGGGUGAGGGAACAUCAUUAGAGGAUGACAUUUGCUUAAGACCUUGAAGGAGAUGAUCAAGUUAGCCUCGUAGACUUCCAGGUAGAGAUAAUAGCAUGUCAUAGGCUGUGCGGUAGGUAGGUAAUGUGCCUGGUGAAUCUGAAGAAAACUGAGGAUAUCAGAUUUUCAUGAAUGUUUCUGUAAAAGGGUGAUAGAAGGAGAUGUGAGGUCAUGAGGGGAUUCUUCUCAGUAUGCUUGACACUGACGGGCAUGGGAGGUAAGGGAGAAGUUCAUGAUGUAGGAAGAAGGUUGGCAGAGAGAUAGUUCUAUAGGUUAGGAUGGAGUAAACAGGGGGUGAGGGGAUCAGAAAUGGAGUCCACUAUACUUGUGGAGGGCUGGCUAGAGAGAGGAGCCUAAA